GAAAUUUUUUUUGUAUUCAAAAUUUCAAUCUAUAUAAAGUUUUAAUUUUUAUUUAUAUAAAAUAAAAAAGA
rnacentral:misc_RNA from 1 species